rfam:Otolemur garnettii contig012814, whole genome shotgun sequence.
AUACUUACCUGGCAGAGGAGAUACUAUGAUCACAAAGGUGGUUUACCCAGGGUGAAGCUUAUCCAUUGCACUCUGGAUUUGCUGGCUCCUGUGAUGUCCCCAUAUGUGGAAACUUGAUUGCAUAAUCUGUGGUAGUGGGAGACUGAAUUUGCACUUUCCCCUG